UUGACUCUGACAGAUAUUAAUGAGUGUGUGUGUGCGUGUGCUCGCUCAUGUUUACCGUGUUGUGUGACCUGCAGGAGAAAAGCCUCGGUGGAUGAGAAUUACGAGUGGGAUGCAGCUGAUGUCGACUCACAGCCUGGAAACAGAGAUGGUUUGCUGCAGAAGCCUCUUCCUCUUCUUCUUCCUCCUCAGUGCUGCGACCUUCCCAGCAUGCACUGCUCCUCUCUGAUGUCGUCUUUGUGCUCGGGGCAUCAGAACGUCCGCUCUGCUAAACCAGAACCAGACACGGUUCUGUUCUGAGGCUUCAUGGUUCGUCAGACAUCACAUGAUUUUUUUUUUUUUGAAGUUUACUACUUAUCUGUUACUUCUCACCUGAGGCUAAUGCUAAUGCCAAAGCUAACACACUAAAAGUUGUCCUGAUUUCCCCUCUCUGUCCUUUUAUUUGUUCAGAUUGUCAGUUUGGAGGAAAUCCGAUGAAUAAUCUCUCAGAUUAGAGUGAAUGCUGGAAAUGGAGAAUUUUUUUCUCUUCAUUUCAUUCUGAAAACUCGCUCCCGCUGAUUUGUUGUUGAUUCAUUUCCAAUUUAAAAACAUGAAGAUAAAGACAAAUGUUCUUAAGAGUUUCUUGUUUCAAGAGAAAAAAUAAUCUACCAAUGGGAUUAUUAGCUAAUUUUUAAAACUAUCCUGUAAAUCUGCAGUUUAGACCUUCAGGCUGUAACUACAGUAAACUGACAACAAAAAUAUUAUAUAUUAUUAUAUAUUAAAUAUUAUGUAUGGAAAUAUGUAUAUAUACAUAUAUAUAUGUAUAUACAUGUGUGUAUAUGAGAUUACACAGGUAUGAGGUCCACAAUAUUAAUAAAAACUUAAUUAUAAUUCUAAAUAAAUUAUAAAUUGUGACAAUCUCACAAUUUUGUCUCAGAUUUUUUUAAUGGUUUUUGUUUCCAACAGAAUGUCCACAUGUGGUCCUAAUCCUAAUCCUGAUCCUGAUCCUAAUCCUCCAUGUGCAGUUUAGUUUUUGAUUCUUAAAAUAAGAACAAAACACUUUGUUUUAACUCGUUAUUUUCAAUUUAAUCUUAAACUCAACUGUAACGUUGGAUUAAGACAAAGUGAGACGUUGAUUAUUUUUCUUUUUAGGCAAAAAAAAAAGAAGAACAUUU